UGGGGAAUAUUGGACAAUGGGCGAAAGCCUGAUCCAGCCAUGCCGCGUGUGUGAAGAAGGUCUUCGGAUUGUAAAGCACUUUAAGUUGGGAGGAAGGGCAGUAAGCGAAUACCUUGCUGUUUUGACGUUACCGACAGAAUAAGCACCGGCUAACUCUGUGCCAGCAGCCGCGGUAAUACAGAGGGUGCAAGCGUUAAUCGGAAUUACUGGGCGUAAAGCGCGCGUAGGUGGUUCGUUAAGUUGAAUGUGAAAGCCCCGGGCUCAACCAGGGAACUGCAUCCAAAACUGGCGAGCUAGAGUAGGGCAGAGGGUGGUGGAAUUUCCUGUGUAGCGGUGAAAUGCGUAGAUAUAGGAAGGAACACCAGUGGCGAAGGCGAGCACCUGGGCUCAUACUGACACUGAGGUGCGAAAGCGUGGGGAGCAAACAGG
rnacentral:rRNA from 1 species